GUGGGAAGGGCUAGCUGCCUGGAAGCAAGGAAUUGGAUUAAUUUGAAAUCAAGGAUGCAGUUGUAAGAAGAAGACAAAAAAGGAGAAACAACACAUACAUCCAUCACUAGAGACACUGUCAAGAUUGAAUGCUACAGCACACCCCCCGGCUCUUAGUUCCCUAAACCAGGGACAUACAGAGGCAGACUCUGAAGUAUAAAAUUGCUACUAGGAGACAAGCAUUGAACCUUCAGUCUGUCUCACUUGAAAACUGGCAUAUGAUGUUAGCAACUAAAAAACAACUGAAUCACAUCUGAAAUCAGCCUGCAACUUGAAAGCUACAUGUUCUUGCCCCUACC